rnacentral:lncRNA from 1 species
AGCCCAAAAAUAACCGCCCGAAGGCCGGGGCGCCAAGUUCGUCCAGCGGAAAAAGGCCACAAAAACCGGUGGGCUACAGGCUUGGGGCGUGGGGCUGGCCAACUUCGUCCGCCGGACUCGGAAUGGCGCGAGACUUUGUGAGGCGCCUCCAUGUGUCCUAAAAAUAGGCCGCGGGCACAGUCGCGCCCAAAAAUAACCACCUGAAGGCCGGGGCACCAAGUUCGUCCAGCGGAAAAAGGCCACAAAAACGGGUGGGCUAUAGCCUUGGGGGGUGGGGCUGGCCAACUUCGUCCGCCGGACUCGGAAUGGUGCGAGACGUUGCGAGGCGCCUCCGUGUGCCAAAAAUAGGCUACGGUCACAGCCGCGCCCAAAAAAUAACCUCGCGAAGGCCGGGACACCAAGUUCGUCCAGCGGAAAAAGUCCACAAAAACGGGUGGGCUAUAGCCUUGGGGGGUGGGGCUGGCCAACUUCGUCCGCUGGACUCGGAAUGGCACGAGACUUUGCGAGGCACCUCCGUGUGCCAAAAAUAGUCCGCGGACACAGGCGCGCCCAAAAAUUAACUGCCCGAAGGCCGGGGCGCCAAGUUCGUCCAGCGGAAAAAGGCCACAAAACCGGGUGGGCUAUAGCCUUGGGGGGUGGGGCUGGCCAACUUCGUCCGCCGGACUCGGAAUGGCGCGAGACUUUGCGAGGCACCUCUGUGUGCCAAAAAUAGGCCACGGCCACAGCCGCGCCCACAAAUAACCUCGCGAAGGCCGGGGCGCCUUGUUCGUCCAGUAGAAAAAGUCCACAAAAACGGGUGGGCUAUAGCCUUGGGGUGUGGGGCUGGCCAACUUCGUCCGCCGGACUCGGAAUGCCGCGAGACUUUGCGAGGUGCCUCCGUGUGCCACAAAUAGGCUGCGGGCACAGCCGCACCCAAAAAUAACCGCCAGAAGGCCAGGGCGCCAAGUUCGUGCAGCGGAAAAAGGCCACAAAAACGGUUGGGCUAUAGCAUUGGGGGGUGGGGCUGGCGAACUUCGUCCGCCGGACUCGUAAUGGCGCGAGACUUUGCGAGGUGCCUCCGUGUGCCAAAAAUAGGCUGCGGGCACAGCCGUACCCAAAAAUCACCACCCGAAGGCCGGGGCGCCAAGUUCGUCCAGCGGAAAAAGGCCACAAAAACGGGUGGGCUAUAGCAUUGGGGUGUGGGGCUGGCGAACUUCGUCCGCCGGACUCGGAAUGGCGCGAGACUUUACGAGGUGCCUCUGUGUGCCAAAAAUAGGCCGCGGGCACAGCCGUGGCCAAAAAUAACGGCCCGAAGGCCGGGGCGCCAAGUUCGUGCAGCGGAAAAAGGCCACAAAAACGGGUGGGCUAAAGCAUUGGGGGGUGGGGCUGGCGAACUUCGUCCGCCGGACUCGGAAUGGCGCGAGACUUUGCGAGGUGCCUCCGUGUGACAAAAAUAGGCCGCGGCCACAGCCGUGGCCAAAAAUAAUGGCCCGAAGGCCGGGGCGCCAAGUUCGUGCAGCGGAAAAAGGCCACAAAAACGGGUGGGCUAUAGCCUUGGGGGGUGGGGCUGGCCGACUUCGUCCGCCGGACUCGGAAUGGCGCGAGACUUUGGGAGGUGCCUCCGUGUGCCAAAAAUAGGUUGCGGGCACAGCCGCGCCUAAAAAUAACCGCCUGAAGGCCGGGACGCCACGUUCGUCCAGCGGAAAAAGGCCACAAAAACGGGUGGGCUAUAGCCUUGGGGGGUGGGGCUGGCCAACUUCGUCCGCCGGACUCGGAAUGGCGCGAGACUUUGCGAGGCGCCUCUGUGUGUCAAAAAUAGGCUGCGGACACAGCCGCUCCCAAAAAUAACCACCCGAAGGCCGGGGCGCCAUGUUCGUCCAGCGGGAAAAUGCCCCAAAAACGGGCUUGGCUAUAACCUUGGGGGGUGGGGCUGGCCAACCUCAUCCGCCGGACUCGGAAUGGCGCGAGACUUUGCGAGGUGCCUCCGAUUGCAAAAAAUAGGCCGCGGACACAGCAGCGCCCAAAAAUAACCGCCCGAAGGCCGGGGCGCCAAGUUCGUCCAGCCGAAAAAGCCCACAAAAACGGUUGGCUAUAGCCUUGGGGGGUGGGGCUGACCAACUUCGUCCGCCGGACUCGGAUUGGCGCGAUACUUUGCGAGGCACCUCCGUGUGCCAAAAAUAGGCCACAUGCACAGCCACGCCCAAAAAUAACCGCCCGAAGGCUGGAGCGCCAAGUUCGUCCAGCGGAAAAAGGCCACAAAAACGGGUGGGCUAUAGCAUUGGGGUGUGGGGCUGGCCAACUUCGUCCGCUGGACUCGGAAUGGCGCGACACUUUGCGAGGGGCCUCCGUGUGCAGGAAAUAGGCUGCGGGUGGGCUAUAGCAUUGGGGUGUGGGGCUGGCCAACUUCGUCCGCCGGACUCGGAAUGCCGCGAGACUUUGCGAGGUGCCUCCGUGUGCCAAAAAUAGGCUACGGGCACAGCCGCACCCAAAAAUAACCGCCCGAUGGCCGGGACACCAAGUUCGUGCAGCGGAAAAAGGCCACAAAAACGGUUGGGCUAUAGCAUUGGGGGGUGGGGCUGGCGAACUUCGUCCGCCGGACUCGGAAUGGCGCGAGACUUUGCGAGGAGCCUCCGCGUGCCAAAAAUAGGCUGCGGGCACAGCCGCACCCAAAAAUCACCGGCCGAAGGCCGGGGCGCCAAGUUCGUCCAGCGGAAAAAGGCCACAAAAACGGGUGGGCUAUAGCAUUGAGGGGUGGGGCGGGCGAACUUCGUCCGCCGGACUCGGAAUGGCGCGAGACUUUGCGAGGUGCCUCCGUCUACCAAAAAUAGGCCGCGGGCACAGCCGUGGCCAAAAAUAACUGCCCGAAGGCCGGGGCGCCAAGUUCGUCCAGCGGAAAAAGGCCACAAAAACGGGUGGGCUAUAGCAUUGGGGGGUGGGGCUGGCCAACUUCGUCCGCCGGACUCGGAAUGCCGCGAGACUUUGCGAGGUGCCUCCGUGUGCCAAAAAUAGGCUGCGGGCACAGCCGCACCCAAAAAUCACCGCCCGAAGGCCGGGGCACCAAGUUCGUCCAGCGGAAAAAGGCCACAAAAACGGGUGGGCUAUAGCAUUGGGGGGUGGGGCUGGCGAACUUCGUCCGCCAGACUCGGAAUGGCGCGAGACUUUGCGAGGUGCCUCCGUGUGCCAAAAAUAGGCCGUGGCCACAGCCGUGGCCAAAAAUAACCGCCCGAAGGCCGGGGCGCCAUGUUCGUCCAGCGGGAAAAUGCCCCAAAAACGGGUGGGCUAUAACCUUGGGGGGUGGGGUUGGCCAACUUCAUCCGCCGGACUCAGAAUGGUGCGAGACUUUGCGAGGUGCCUCCGAUUGCAAAAAAUAGGCCGCGUUCGUCGAGCGGAAAAAGUCCACAAAAACGGGUGGGCUAUAGCAUUGGGGUGUGGGGCUGGCCAACUUCGUCCGCUGGACUCGGAAUGGCGCGAGACUUUGCGAGGGGCCUCCGUGUGCAGGAAAUAGGCUGCGGGUGGGCUAUAGCAUUGCGGUGUGGGGCUGGCCAACUUCGUCCGCCGGACUCGGAAUGCCGCGAGACUUUGCGAGGUGCCUCCGUGUGCCAAAAAUAGGCUGCGGGCACAGCCGCGCCCAAAAAUAACCGCCCGAAGGCCGGGGCACCAAGUUCGUGCAGCGGAAAAAGGCCACAAAAACGGUUGGGCUAUAGCAUUGGGGGGUGGGGCUGGCGAACUUCGUCCGCCGGACUCGGAAUGGCGCGAGACUUUGCGAGGUGCCUCCGUGUGCCAAAAAUAGGCUGCGGGCACAGCCGCACCCAAAAAUCACCGCCCGAAGGCCGGGGCGCCAAGUUCGUCCAGCGGAAAAAGGCCACAAAAACGGGUGGGCUAUAGCAUUGGGGGGUGGGGCUGGCGAACUUCGUCCGCCGGACUCGGAAUGGCGCGAGACUUUGCGAGGUGCCUCCGUGUGCCAAAAAUAGCCCGCGGGCACAGCCGUGGCAAAAAAUAACGGCCCGAAGGCCGGGGCGCCAAGUUCGUGCAGCGGAAAACGGCCACAAAAACGGGUGGGCUAUAGCCUUGGGGGGUGGGGCUGGCCGACUUCGUCCGCCGGACUCGGAAUAGCGCGAGAUUUUGGGAGGUGCCUCCCGUGUGCCAAAAAUAAGCUGCGGGCACACCCGCGCCAAAAAUAACGCCCCGAAGGCGGGGCGCCAAGUCCUUCAUCGGAAAAAGGCCACAAAAACGGGUGGGCUAUAGCCUUGGGGGGUGGGGCUGGCCAACUUCGUCCGCCGGACUCGGAAUGGUGCGAGAUUUUGCGAGGUGCCUCCGUGGGCCCAAAAUAGGCUGCGGGCACAGCCGCUCCCAAAAAUAACGUCCCGAAGGCCGGGGCGCCAAGUUCGUCCAGCGGGAAAAGGCCCCAAAAACGGGUGGGCUAUAGCCUUGGGGGGUGGGGCUGGCCAACUUCAUCCGCCGGACUCGGAAUGGCGCGAGACUUUGCGAGGCGCCUCCGUUUGCAAAUAAUAGGCUGCGGGCACAGCAGCGCCCAAAAAUAACAACCCGAAGGCCGGGGUGCCAAGUUCGUCCAGCGGAAAAAGCCCACAAAAACGGUUGGCUAUAGCCUUGGGGGGUGGGGCUGACCAACUUCGUCCGCCGGACUCGGAUUGGCGCGACACUUUGCGAGGCACCUCCGUGUGCCAAAAAUAGGCCACAUGCACAGCCACGCCCAAAAACAACCGCCCGAAGGCUGGAGCGCCAAGUUCAUCCAGCGGAAAAAGGCCACAAAAACAGGUGGGCUAUAGCAUUGGGGUGUGGGGCUGGCCAACUUCGUCCGCUGGACUCGGAAUGGCGCGAGACUUUGCGAGGGGCCUCUGUGUGCAGGAAAUAGGCUGCGGGUAGGCUAUAGCAAUAGGGUGUGGGGCUGGCCAACUUCGUCCGCCGGACUCGGAACGGCGCGAAACUUUGCGAGGGGCCUCCGUGUGCAGGAAAUAGGCUGUGGGUGGGCUAUAGCAUUGCGGUGUGGGGCUGGCCAACUUCGUCCGCCGGACUCGGAAUGCCGCGAGACUUUGCGAGGUGCCUCCGUGUGCCAAAAAUAGGCUGCGGGCACAGCCGCGCCCAAAAAUAACCGCCCGAAGGCCGGGGCACCAAGUUCGUGCAGCGGAAAAAGGCCACAAAAACGGUUGGGCUAUAGCAUUGGGGGGUGGGGCUGGCGAACUUCGUCCGCCGGAGUCGGAAUGGCGCGAGACUUUACGAGGUGCCUCCGUGUGCCAAAAAUAGGCUGCGGGCACAGCCGCACCCAAAAAUCACCGCCCGAAGGCCGGGGCGCGAAGUUCGUCCAGCGGAAAAAGGCCACAAAAACGGGUGGGCGAUAGCAUGGGGGGGUGGGGCUGGCCAACUUCGUCCGCCGGACUCGGAAUGGCGUGAGACUUUGCGAGGUGCCUCCGUGUGCCAAAAAUAGGCCGCGGACAAAGCCGCGACCAAAAAUAACCGCCCGAAGGCCGGGGCGCCAAGUUCGUGCAGCGGAAAAAGGCCACAAAAACGGGUGGGCUAUAGCCUUGGGGGGUGGGGCUGGCCAACUUCGUCCGCCGGACUCGGAUUGGCACGAGACUUUGCGAGGCACCUCCGUGUGUAAAAAAUAGGCCGCGGGCACAGCCGCGUCCAAAAAUAACAGCCCGAAGGCCGGGGCGCCAAGUUCGUCCAGCGAAAAAUGGCCACAAAAAUGGGUGGGCAAUAGCCUUGGGGGGUGGGGCUGGCCAACUUCGUCCGCCGGACUCAGAAUGUCACGAGACUUUAUGAGCGGUCUCCGUGUGCAGUAAAUAGGCCGCGGGCAAAGCCGCGCCCAAAAAUAACCCCCCGAAGGCCGGGGCACCAAGUUCGUCCUACGGACUCGGAAUGCGUCGAGACUUUACGAGGGGCCUCCGUGUGCAGAAAAUAGGCCGCGGGCAAAGCCGCGCCCAAAAAUAACCGCCCGAAGGCCGGGGCGCCAAGUUCGUCCAGCGGAAAA